CUCAUUGAGGCCCUGAGUCAGGCCGGGAGGAAAUGAAGUAGUUCUUUUAGAGGAUCUGAGAGGUUAGUCUAGAAGGGAGGGUAUCGCCUGGUGUAGGGUCCUGAGCUGGUCAUUUACUCUCCUAGUGAUUCUCUCGAAUUUUGAUCAGAGCUGAAAAGGGGCGUUUCCUCUCCUGAAGUUUCCCAUUCCCGCCGAAAUACCAGGUCAGGCACUUCUCCUCCCCAGCGUACCGAGGCGGAAAGUUCGUGGUGGAAAAAUUUCCAAGAGCUCCUGCUGCUAGUCCUUUGCCUCUGCCAGCUUCAACCUCUCCUCCUCCGAAUGUCUCCAGAUCCAAAGGUUUGUGCUUCAGCCUCCAGCCAGCACAAAGGUGGAAGAUGGAAUAAAUUUGUCUCAGCCUCAGAAA